rnacentral:pre_miRNA from 1 species
UACAUACUCCCUCCGUUCGGAAUUACUUGUCAUUGAAAUGGAUGUAUCUAGACGUAUUUUAGUUCUAGAUACAUCCAUUUCCGAGACAAGUAAUUCCGAACGGAGGGAGUACGAA